AGACAGAGGGUGCAAACGUUGUUCGGAAUUACUGGGCGUAAAGCGUGUGUAGGCGGCCAUGUAAGUUGGAUGUGAAAGCCCCGGGCUCAACCCGGGAAGUGCAUUCAAAACUGCGUGGCUUGAGUACUGGAGAGGUUGGUAGAAUUCUCGGUGUAGAGGUGAAAUUCGUAGAUAUCGAGAGGAAUACCGGUGGCGAAGGCGGCCAACUGGACAGAUACUGACGCUGAGACACGAAAGCGUGGGGAGCAAACAGGAUUAGAUACCCUGGUAGUCCACGCCGUAAACGAUGGGUGCUAGGUGUCACUGGCAUUGACUCCGGUGGUGCCGUAGCUAACGCAUUAAGCACCCCGCCUGGGAAGUACGGCCGCAAGGCUAAA
rnacentral:rRNA from 1 species